rnacentral:rRNA from 1 species
AUACGGAGGAUGCAAGCGUUAUCCGGAUUUAUUGGGUUUAAAGGGUGCGUAGGCGGUUUGCUAAGCGGGAGGUGAAAUGCCGGCGCUCAACGUCGGAAGUGCCUCCCGAACUGGUGGACUGGAAUGACUCUGCCGUGGGAGGAAUGUGUAGUGUAGCGGUGAAAUGCUUAGAGAUUACACAGAACACCGAUUGCGAAGGCAUCUCACGAAGGGUUGAUUGACGCUGAGGCACGAAAGCGUGGGGAUCAAACAGGAUUAGAUACCCUGGUAGUCCACGCAGUAAACGAUGAUGGCUAACCGCUGGUUUUUUCGGAUCAGUGGCCAAGCGAAAGCGAUAAGCCAUCCACCUGGGGAGUACGACCGCAAGGUUGAAACUUAAAGGAAUUGACGGG